rnacentral:rRNA from 1 species
ACUUACGGCUAUAGCAGCCUGAGCAUGCAUGAUUCUGUCUGAUGUCAGAAGCUAAGUAGGCUCAGGUUCAUUAGUACUUGAAUGGGAGACUGACUGGGUGCUGUAACCUUAGGGUGGCUGUAGCUC